UUUAUUGGAGAGUUUGAUCCUGGCUCAGGACGAACGCUGGCGGCAUGCCUAAUACAUGCAAGUCGAGCGGACUUGAAGAGAAGCUUGCUUCUCUGAUGGUUAGCGGCGGACGGGUGAGUAACACGUAGGCAACCUGCCCUCAAGUUUGGGACAACUACCGGAAACGGUAGCUAAUACCGAAUAAUUGUUUUCUUCGCCUGAAGGGAACUGGAAAGACGGAGCAAUCUGUCACUUGAGGAUGGGCCUGCGGCGCAUUAGCUAGUUGGUGAGGUAACGGCUCACCAAGGCGACGAUGCGUAGCCGACCUGAGAGGGUGAUCGGCCACACUGGGA
rnacentral:rRNA from 1 species